rnacentral:tRNA from 2 species
AAGCCCCUAGUAAACUAUUACACAGCCCUGUCAGAGCUGAAUCACAGGUGCAAACCCUGUGGGACUUA